CCCACGGGAAAGAGUAGGACUCAGCAGAGUGAAAGCAGCUGGGACCCAGAGAAGCCAGUUAGGUCUGACUCUUAAAAGCCAAAGACCAGCAGGUGGGUGUCCUCAGGGGCAAAUGGACUACAUUGGUACCCAUUCAAGCGGACUGGAGAAAGGUGAAAAGCUUGGUGAAGGAUUUUAAGGACUUCCCAUUGACUGAAGGCUGGCAAAUGGAGUUUGCCAUUCUCUGACUGCAGCCAUUCUGAGGACUGGAAAGAAUACCCUGAGAAGUGGCCUAUUUUAUUCCUGCAGGAAGGUGACAAAUAACAUCCAAAGGAGGUUUUGGAGGUGGGAAGACAAUGUGGAAUGUACUAGAAGAAAGCAGCUCUGAGCACCAGCAGCCCUGUCCCCAGGACCUCAGCAGCUGUGUUGGAAGCCAUCUCCUCCCCAUCUUCCUCUCAUUGUGGGCGAAGAACUGGUGCCCGGCAUAAUGGGAGGAGAGCAUCAUUGUCAUCAUCACACACACUGUUGCUGUGACAGAGGAAAGGACUGGAAUUGUGUGUCAUCUGCACGGAGGACUCUGAUUUUUUCCCCCUUGAGACAGGAUCUCACUCUGUCACCCAGGCUGGAGUUGACAGUUGCACA